rnacentral:rRNA from 1 species
ACGAACGCUGGCGGCGUGCCUAAUACAUGCAAGUCGAGCGGAAUGAUGAAGAAGCUUGCUUCUUCUGAUUUUAGCGGCGGACGGGUGAGUAACACGUGGGCAACCUACCUUGUAGAUUGGGAUAACUCCGGGAAACCGGGGCUAAUACCGAAUAAUCCAUUUUGCUUCAUGGCGAGAUGUUGAAAGGCGGCUUCGGCUGUCACUACGAGAUGGGCCCGCGGCGCAUUAGCUAGUUGGUAGGGUAAUGGCCUACCAAGGCGACGAUGCGUAGCCGACCUGAGAGGGUGAUCGGCCACACUGGGACUGAGACACGGCCCAGACUCCUACGGGAGGCAGCAGUAGGGAAUCCUCCACAAUGGACGAAAGUCUGAUGGAGCAACGCCGCGUGAGUGAAGAAGGUUUUCGGAUCGUAAAACUCUGUUGUUAGGGAAGAACACGUACGAGAGUAACUGCUCGUACCUUGACGGUACCUAACCAGAAAGCCACGGCUAACUACGUG